GGUGCGUUAGCUCAGUUGGUAGAGCAGCUGCCUCUUAAGCAGCCUGUCACUGGUUCGAGUCCAGUACGCAUCACCA
rnacentral:tRNA from 1 species